UUCCUACGCGCAUUGAUGUGCAAUGUGCUCAGGAUAGGGGGGUGAAUGAGAUUGACGAAGAGUUCUUGUUCUGUAUCUCAGUUUUUCUCUUUAUACUCAAAUUAAAUAGUGGGAAAAAUUAUCGGGAAAAUCACAUCAUAUGCAAUGGAGUGUAUUUGGAUAUUAAGUGGAUAAAUACACGCUCUGGGCGUUUUUCGGUGAAGAAGUACUACGGUGUUUGUAAAUAUUUAUUUAAAUAAUUUGUGUGAGAAGAGCAGGGUUGGCUGCUGCUCAAGUGAGUAAAAGAGGAGGCUGCCACCCCCUCAAUGCAAAAUUGGAUGGUGUUCAAAACUGAAGACUGUGUGAAGGCUGAAAGCUGUCCAGGACUGAGCUUCCGACAGAAGGGAUCAAUGAUGGAAUUACAGACCCUCCAAGAGUCCCUGAAAGCGGAUAUACAAGUUCAUCAGAAACUAGUGUCCCAGAUGAAACAGGAUCCACAGGUAAGCCCCUCCUGUCACAAAGGCAGUUGUACCCGAUUGCUAGGCCCAAAUACACAAUAUGUUUUGGGGUUGACGUCAGAGGUUUUCAAGCUUUUGAAAGAAUGUAGUAUCCCUAUUACUCAAAAUCUACACAGUCGAAAGAUAUGACUUAAAACAGCCUAAAAAAGACCAGUUAAGAUAUAAUGUUUUGAAUUUUACCCCCUUUUUCUCCACAAUUCCAUGGUAUCCAAUUUUUUAUUUUUUUAGUAGCUACUAUCUUGUCUCAUCGCUACAACUCCCGUACGUGCUCGGG
rnacentral:lncRNA from 13 species